GUGGGGAAUCUUGCGCAAUGGGCGAAAGCCUGACGCAGCCAUGCCGCGUGAAUGAUGAAGGUCUUAGGAUUGUAAAAUUCUUUCACCGGGGACGAUAAUGACGGUACCCGGAGAAGAAGCUCCGGCUAACUUCGUGCCAGCAGCCGCGGUAAUACGAAGGGGGCUAGCGUUGCUCGGAUUUACUGGGCGUAAAGGGCGCGUAGGCGGACAUUUAAGUCAGGGGUGAAAGCCCAGGGCUCAACCUUGGAAUUGCCUUUGAUACUGGCUGUCUUGAGUUUGGGAGAGGUGAGUGGAACUCCGAGUGUAGAGGUGAAAUUCGUAGAUAUUCGGAAGAACACCAGUGGCGAAGGCGACUCACUGGCCCAAUACUGACGCUGAGGCGCGAAAGCGUGGGGAGCAAUCAGGAUUAGAUACCCUGGUAGUCC
rnacentral:rRNA from 1 species